UACGUAGGGGGCAAGCGUUGUCCGGAUUUAUUGGGCGUAAAGAGUGUGUAGGCGGUGCUCUAAGUUCGGUGUGAAAUCUCCCGGCUCAACUGGGAGGGUGCGCCGGAAACUGGAAUGCUUGAGCGUGGGAGAGGAAAGCGGAAUUCCUGGUGUAGCGGUGAAAUGCGUAGAUAUCAGGAGGAACACCUGCGGUGUAGACGGCUUUCUGGACCAUUGCGUGACGCUGAGACACGAAAGCGUGGGUAGCAAACAGG
rnacentral:rRNA from 1 species